ensembl:rRNA 5S_rRNA 5S ribosomal RNA
AUAUGCAGCCAUAUCACCCUGCAACUCACAACUGGUAACCCACUGAAGCUAAGCAGGUGUGAGCCUGGUCAGUACCUGGAUGGGAGACCUCCUGGGAAAAACUAAGGUUGCUGCUGGAA